CAGGCAAGUAUCCAGAGAGUACAUUUACAAUGUGUUAAGUGCCAUAAGAGGUACAACAGCAACAAAAAUAGGAAACAAGCAUCUCUGUUUUGGGAGAAAUCAUCACAGAAGAGACAAGGCUCCAGAUGGCUGUGAGCUAUUCAAGGUGAAGAUGAAUGGCACCUUGCUUUGCCAGGACAAGCUUGAGAGGGGACGUGUCCAUCCUGUAUCAGACUGCUGUUCUUUUCUGUCAACCACACAGAUUUUAUUUAUCUAAGGAGGUGGAAGGGUAGGGAAGGAGGGAGAGGAAGCAGAUGCCUUACUGAGUGCAGAGCACAGCUACCACAACCCUGAAAUCACGACCUGAGAUGAAAUCAAGAGUUGGAAGCUCAACUGACUAGGCCACCUACAUGCCCCUAAAGGCUUCCAUUUUGUACAGCUCCUUAGAGCUCCUUUCUACUUGCUAUAUGGCUUGC